GACGAACGCUGGCGGCGUGCUUAACACAUGCAAGUCGAACGGAAAGGCCCUGCUUUUGUGGGUUGCUCGAGUGGCGAACGGGUGAGUAACACGUGAGUAACCUGCCCUUGACUUUGGGAUAACUUCAGGAAACUGGGGCUAAUACCGGAUAGGAUCUCCUGCUGCAUGGUGGGGGUUGGAAAGUUUCGGCGGUUGGGGAUGGACUCGCGGCUUAUCAGCUUGUUGGUGGGGUAGUGGCUUACCAAGGCUUUGACGGGUAGCCGGCCUGAGAGGGUGACCGGCCACAAUGGGACUGAGAUACGGCGCAGACUCCUACGGGAGGCAGCAGUGGGGAAUAUUGCACAAUGGGCGGAAGCCUGAUGCAGCAACGCCGCGUGCGGGAUGACGGCCUUCGGGUUGUAAACCGCUUUCGCCUGUGACGAAGCGUGAGUGACGGUAAUGGGUAAAGAAGCACCGGCUAACUACGUG
rnacentral:rRNA from 1 species